rnacentral:rRNA from 1 species
UGGGGAAUAUUGGACAAUGGGCGAAAGCCUGAUCCAGCCAUGCCGCGUGUGUGAAGAAGGUCUUCGGAUUGUAAAGCACUUUAAGUUGGGAGGAAGGGCAUUAACCUAAUACGUUAGUGUUUUGACGUUACCGACAGAAUAAGCACCGGCUAACUCUGUGCCAGCAGCCGCGGUAAUACAGCGGGGGCCAGCGUUAAUCGGAAUUACUGGGCGUAAAGCGCGCGUAGGUGGUUUGUUAAGUUGGAUGUGAAAUCCCCGGGCUCAACCUGGGAACUGCAUUCAAAACUGACUGACUAGAGUAUGGUAGAGGGUGGUGGAAUUUCCUGUGUAGCGGUGAAAUGCGUAGAUAUAGGAAGGAACACCAGUGGCGAAGGCGACCACCUGGACUAAUACUGACACUGAGGUGCGAAAGCGUGGGGAGCAAACA